ensembl:snoRNA U3 Small nucleolar RNA U3
AAGAUUAUACUUUCAGGAAUCAUUUCUAUAGUUUGUUACUAGAGAAGUUUCUCUGAAUGUGUAAAGCAUGAAAAACCACAAGGAGACACAGUGUCUGCUCCUGACUGAAAAGCCAGCUCUUGGUGUUGCUCUGCUGCAACUGCGUGCUAUUUGCCAUUGAUAACCAUUCUUCUCUUCCUCUGGGAGAGUAAGAGGGAAAGACUGCAGUCUGAGUGGU